CAGAUUUUUCUCACUCUUCUAUCUCCUUCCUCUUUUUUAUUUUUUCCUGCCUUCAUCUGCUUCUGCGGUGAUCUUUCUUCUCUCUUCUUUGCCCACCUACACAGCUCCGCUUCAUUUACAAAAAUCUUAAACACCACCGCCUCAUACCGUAGUCGCAUCUAUCUAAACAUCAAAAAGAAAAAGUUAAUUAAUCACUUGAUGAUUUUUAUAGGAGGAUUAGUUAUUUGUUAUUUUUUUUUACAAAUCGGGGAUUAGUAAUUUGUUAUUUCUGUUGAUGAAGGCUUGUUUGAUUUGUUUCUUCUUUCCAUGUUAGUUGUCAGAUUUGAUCACAAUCACACGGCUGCUAAGAAUAUGGCUACUGGAGAUGAUUUUAGAGAUUCAUUUUCAAGAGGCUUUAAAUUAUUUUAGUGCCCUUGUGACAUGGGCAAAUGUGUAAUACCAUUAAUUCCUAGAUUUAUUUACUAUUAUGCCCUCACCAAUUUGCAGGGGUAAAAUAGUCCAAAAUGGGCAGCUUCAACUAAGGGUAGUUGGCUUUAUGUAGAAUAGAUAGAUAGAUACCAUAAAUAUCGUUUUAAUAUUAAUAACGAUUUAAAUGGAAUCAUCAUUUUAGAUCCACAAAAUCUUCUUCCUUUCCUCCUCUUUCAGCCACCAUCACCAUCUCUCCCACCACCACCACCUCCGCGGUCUUCAACAAAUUAACACCCAAUAGAACCUAUUAAUACUUUUUUUUGGUUCAUUUGGGUGGGAGAGAUUUUCAGAGACGAUUUGAAAUUUUGAGAGAUAUCUUUGUCUGAGAUCAAUCAAAUCUUCGAAAUCGAACUUCAUAGUCACCAUCAAUAGUUGAUUUUCUUCUCAAUUUAAGUUCAUUUCGUUGUCAAUUGAAGAUCCAGACAAUCGAGACAGAGAUUUAGGUUUUCGAUUUUGUUUUCAGGAUAUUUUGUGGAGAUUGUUGAUUUUAAUAUAUAGUGGUGUUGGUGGUGGCAGAUGUUGUUGGUGGUGGAUGUUGCAACACUGGUGUUGGUUUCCUGUUGUUGAUGUACUGGCGGAGGUUGUGGUAUAUGAAUCUGGAAUUAAUGUUGUCAAUAAGAAUAGUUAUGCAGUGGUGAUAAUGAUAGUGGGGUUUCUACAAGGAGAGGUCUUUGAGAUCCAUGCAUUUUUAGUUUUGUAAUAUUGAGUUUGCAAGUAGAACCAGUAAGAAGAGUGGCUGAUGUUCUAAAUCCUGGUGGUAGUGGUGGUGGUGGUGGUGUUAGUGAUGGUGGUGGAGUGAGAAAGUAUCAUCAAAAACAAGAUCAGAAUUGUUCUCACUUCUUAGAUGGUGGUACUGCUGGCGUUUUGUUAGUAGAAUUUGAACUACUCCAUUUACAUCUCUCGUUAUCCUAUUCUAGAGACUGAAAGAGGAGGGUUCUUCGGAAUUGUCGUUCGGUAGUAAGGGGUUUGGACUUUGGACUUAGAAUGCUUUAGACGGACCAGGCAGACCUCAACCAAGAGCCAGCAGACCUUGGUUGUUUUCAGACCCUGUCAGAAUCUAUUGGUGAUCCUUGGACAAAGAUGAGUCUGAAGAGCAAACUUAAGAUCUCAGUAACCAGGUUAGCAAUAUUAGCUCUCCCAUCAUCUCUACUGCAAAAAAUGACCAUCAUAGCUUAUGCAUUUGUAUUGUUGUAAGUAACUGUCUUAUGAGCGGCUAAAUUUUGAGUGCGUAUUUUCUUUAUGAAUUAUGUUAAUUUGUUACUUUUGAUUUUUGUAUGUAUACUGAAUGAGAAUGAAAUUAUAGGUGGAAAUAAAAAUUGCUCUUUGCGGAUACAUUAAACUCAAGGGUAUCAGAAGUGUAGUGACUAGUGUAAUUUUUUUUUAAGGUGUCUAAAUGUUCAUUGUUGGCCUAUUUCAUCGUCUGUGUACAAGCCAACAAGUCUAAUUCUCGGCAUGCAUUUAAUCUUGAAGCUUUUACCAGUGAGUUCUACUUAUAUUUACAUAUUUCUGGUGAUGUCAGUGUAUUCUGACAGACUGUGUCGAGCUAUUCAUAUACAUCGUUUGAUGUCUGUCAUUAUAAAAAUAUACAACAAUCAUGUGUUAUCCUCGUAAAGAUGGUAAUUGAAGACAAUGACCACCUUAUUACUUUUA